GUGUAGCUCAGCUGGCUAGAGCGUAUGCUUGCCAAGCAUAAGGUCGGGAGUUCGAUCCUCCUCACCCGCUCCA
rnacentral:tRNA from 1 species